rnacentral:rRNA from 1 species
UGGUGCUUGCACCAUGGUAACCAUGGCGGACGGGUGAGUAACGCGUAAGGAACUUGCCUGCGGGACUGGGAUGACAGCAGGAAACUGCUGAUAAUACCGGAUAAGGUCAUUAAGCUGCAUAGCUUAGUGAUGAAAGGAGACGCCUGCGGAGAGCCUUGCGUCCUAUUAGCUAGUUGGAGGGGUAACGGCCCACCAAGGCGAAGAUAGGUAGCCGGCCUGAGAGGGUGGACGGCCACAAGGGGACUGAGAUACGGCCCUUACUCCUACGGGAGGCAGCAGUGGGGAAUAUUGGACAAUGGGGGCAACCCUGAUCCAGCAAUUCUGUGUGCACGAAGACGGUUUUCGGAUUGUAAAGUGCUUUCAGCAGGGAAGAAGGAAGUGACGGUACCUGCAGAAGAAGCGACGGCUAAAUACGUGCCAGCAGCCGCGGUAAUACGUAUGUCGCGAGCGUUAUCCGGAAUUAUUGGGCAUAAAGGGCAUCUAGGCGGCCUUUCAAGUCAGGGGUGAAAACCUGCGGCUCAACCGCAGGCCUGCCUUUGAAACUGAUAGGCUGGAGUACCGGAGGGGUGGACGGAACUGCACGAGUAGAGGUGAAAUUCGUAGAUAUGUGCAGGAAUGCCGAUGAUGAAGAUAGUUCACUGGACGGUAACUGACGCUGAAGUGCGAAAGCCGGGGGAGCGAACAGGAUUAGAUACCCUGGUAGUCCCGGCCGUAAACGAUGAUUACUGGGUGUGGGCAGGAAGACUGUCUGUGCCGAA